rnacentral:rRNA from 1 species
CCUACGGGGGGCAGCAGUGGGGAAUAUUGCGCAAUGGGCGAAAGCCUGACGCAGCGACGCCGCGUGAGGGAUGAAGGUCUUCGGAUCGUAAACCUCUUUCAGCAGGGAAGAACGGUCACUGUGCUAAUCAGCAGUGAAUUGGCGGGACCUGCAAAGGAAGCACCGGCUAACUCCGUGCCAGCCGCCGCGGUAAUACGGAGGGGGCGAGCGUUAAUCGGAAUUACUUGGCGUAAAGGGCUCGUAGGCGGUACGUAAAGUCAAGGGUGAAAUCCCCGCGCUCAACGUGGGAACUGCCUUUGAAACUGGCAAACUGGAGUGUGUGAGAGGAUAGUGGAAUUCCAGGUGUAGGAGUGAAAUCCGUAGAUAUCUGGAGGAACAUCAGUGGCGAAGGCGACUAUCUGGCACAUAACUGACGCUGAGGAGCGAAAGCGUGGGUAGCAAACAGGAUUAGAUACCCUUGUAGUC